AGUGAACGCUGGCGGUAGGCCUAACACAUGCAAGUCGAACGGCAGCACAGUAAGAGCUUGCUCUUACGGGUGGCGAGUGGCGGACGGGUGAGGAAUACAUCGGAAUCUACUUUUUCGUGGGGGAUAACGUAGGGAAACUUACGCUAAUACCGCAUACGACCUACGGGUGAAAGCAGGGGAUCUUCGGACCUUGCGCGAUUGGAUGAGCCGAUGUCGGAUUAGCUAGUUGGCGGGGUAAAGGCCCACCAAGGCGACGAUCCGUAGCUGGUCUGAGAGGAUGAUCAGCCACACUGGAACUGAGACACGGUCCAGACUCCUACGGGAGGCAGCAGUGGGGAAUAUUGGGCAAUGGGCGCAAGCCUGAUCCAGCCAUACCGCGUGAGCGAAGAAGGCCUUCGGGUUGUAAAGCCCUUUUGUUGGGAAAGAAAAGCAGCAGGUGAAUACCCCGCUGUUCUGACGGUACCCAAAGAAUAAGCACCGGCUAACUUCGUG
rnacentral:rRNA from 1 species